CGAUGGCUAAAUCAGCAGCUAUCGUUAUAACAUCGCAAAUAGCGUGGUUGCAUCGGGAAACACCGUUACUCUUCCCGGGAACAUCGUUAGACAACGGGAAGAAAAGCUCAAUGAUCGGGCAACAUUAGUUUUGGGUCUAUCGGGGUAGAAUCGGUUACCAGGUGUUGCUAUGGGCUAAUCGGCUAUAAUCGGGAAUAGAACGGGGGUGGUCAUUUUGUAAGUGAAAGACUUCUGAUGGCGGCAGGCGUCACUUGAGACGCCUGGCUCACCAACAAUGACGAAAUUGUGAAAAUGUCUGACGACUCUGAAGAUCUACAGCGGCCACAGUCUGCAUCCAUCCUCUUCUACGAACGCCAGGUGGAUCCGGCCGUUCCUCACAAGGGAAGCAGCCCAGCUCAUCUCCCGCCUCGACUACGGCAACUCGCCCCAAAGAAUUUAGUGUCAAACACUUAAUUUCCUGCAUUCUGGUGAAUUUGUAUUCCAACCAUUUGUGCCUUUUCGGGAAUUAAGUUAUGGCGGAAAUUUCUUAACUAUGAAUAGGAAGGCUUUGCCUUCUCUGUGUGUGUCACUAUACAUACUAUGGUUUAUUACAAUGCUUUUGUGUUUACACAAUUACAACAGAGGUAAGACAAGACCAUGAAUAUGGCCAUGACUUCCAAUGCAGGACAUGUUAUACAUAAUAAUAUACACAUGAGCGAGUCAGCCUGAUGCACCAGCUGUGCAUCACAUAGCUUUCUAACACAGUGAUAACUGUUAUAGAAGGCUACAUGCCCUAAUAAGUGAUCUGACAUUUUAAUAUCAAUCAAGCCUACUACGAUGUGCUACAAUUUAAAGUUACAACAUUCAACACACAAACGUUGCUGUUAUUGUGAUUGUUUUGACCGCGGAUAACGGCUUAAUUAGCCUACGGUGUAAUUCUCCAUGUCACUCAUCUACAGCUCAUCUCAAGGUAGCGGCAAAUUUCAUUACAAUGAAAUGGGAUGUCAAUUACUUUAGUCUAUGCCUUUUCUGAUGACAUGUUUCAAGCUAACAGUUAUGAAUGGUUUCUUCUCCACAUAAUGGACACACCAUAUAAGGUUUAAUGAGUUUGUACUUUGUAGAUGGGUUAAGGACUACAAAUAUGGCCACUUUGCCAUUUCCGCUAAAGCAAUGACAGACAAAGGUUUACCGAACAUAUAGGCGUGGCUUAUUUCAAAGUCUGCCCACUUCCAAUAUAAACUUUUCUUACAUGUGUUCAAGAGAUGCUUCAUGAACCACCUCCAGAACAUAAGCUUGUUUACCUUGUCUCUGUGGUAAAAAAACACUUGUUGAAUAUUUACCACUCCGAGUCAUACCUAGCCCGAGACGACCAUACCACGAAGGAUCAAACUCGUUUUUCACCAAAUUACAUACGUCACAUCGUCGGUGAACAUGUUGGCUGCUGAGUCAUCUCAGAUCAAUAGUUGUGAAGACAACAACACCCAUGGACCCACGCUGCUACAAGACGUUAUCAAACCAAGACUUUUAUUUAUUUUCCUCAUCUUCUUUUGAUAAGGACAUGAGCGUCC
ensembl:lncRNA